CCUACGGGGGGCUGCAGUGGGGAAUAUUGGACAAUGGGGGGAACCCUGAUCCAGCCAUGCCGCGUGUGUGAAGAAGGCCCUCGGGUUGUAAAGCACUUUCAGUGAGGAAGAACGCCUGGUGGUUAAUACCCAUCAGGAAAGACAUCACUCACAGAAGAAGCACCGGCUAACUCCGUGCCAGCAGCCGCGGUAAUACGGAGGGUGCGAGCGUUAAUCGGAACUACUGGGCGUAAAGCGCGCGUAGGUGGCUUGAUAAGCCGGUUGUGAAAGCCCCGGGCUCAACCUGGGAACGGCAUCCGGAACUGUCAAGCUAGAGUGCAGGAGAGGAAGGUAGAAUUCCCGGUGUAGCGGUGAAAUGCGUAGAGAUCGGGAGGAAUACCAGUGGCGAAGGCGGCCUUCUGGACUGACACUGACACUGAGGUGCGAAAGCGUGGGUAGCAAACAGGAUUAGAUACCCUGGUAGUC
rnacentral:rRNA from 1 species